rnacentral:misc_RNA from 1 species
GAUGAAGAACGCAGCGAAAUGCGAUAAGUAAUGUGAAUUGCAGAAUUCAGUGAAUCAUCGAAUCUUUGAACGCACAUUGCGCCCGUCAGUAUUCUGGCGGGCAUGCCUGUUCGAGCGUCAUUUCAACCCUCAAGCACAGCUUGGUGUUGGGACUCGCGUUAAUUCGCGUUCCCCAAAUUGAUUGGCGGUCACGUCGAGCUUCCAUAGCGUAGUAGUAAAACCCUCGUUACUGGUAAUCGUCGCGGCCACGCCGUUAAACCCCAACUUCUGAAUGUUGACCUCGGAUCAGGUAGGAAUACCCGCUGAACUUAAGCAUAUCAAUAAGCGGAGGA